UACGAACUGUGCGAACGUUAUUCGGAAUCACUGGGCUUACAGGGUUCGUAGGCGGCUUGUCAAGUUGGGUGUGAAAGCCCCCGGCUUAACCGGGGAAUUGCGCCCUAAACUGGCGAGCUGGAGUGAGAUAGGGGUGUGUGGAACUUCCGGUGGAGCGGUGAAAUGUGUUGAUAUCGGAAGGAACGCCGGUGGCGAAAGCGACACACUGGAUCUUGUCUGACGCUGAGGCACGAAAGCCAGGGGAGCGAACGGG
rnacentral:rRNA from 1 species